UUUUACCUUGCUUUUUAAUUAUGAGUUAGUACAACUGAUUAUUUUAUUUUAUUUUAUUUUAUUUUAUUUUAUUUUAUUUUAUUUUAUUUUAUUUUUUAGAGAUAAAGAAGCCUUUGCUUUGCUUUAAGUGAUUCUAAAACAAUUGACCAAAAGUGUGUCAUGGUCCAUGGCAGGCGUAGAAAAUGUUUUUGGUCAAUAGAAUUGACAGAAUCUCUCACCUGUGGGAGUACAAAAUAGCGAAUUUACUAAAAAUACAAUAUAGAUGAAGCAUUCGAAAUUGAGAAAGGGGAUACAAGCAAAAGAUAUGAAAUAUGUGGUAUACUGUAUCUUAUGUUUUUUCAAAAGUUUGUUUAUUUUUGAGAGAGAGAGAGAGAGACAGAGAGAGUACAGCAGUGGGGAGUGGGCAGGGGCAGAGAGAGAAUUUGCAGCAGGCUCCAGGGCAGCGUGGAGCCCAACAUGGGCCCUGAGAUCAUGACCUGAGCCAAAGUCAAGAGUCAGACGCUUAACCGACUAAGCCCCCCAGGCUCCCCAAUAUACCAUAUUUUAAAGCACUUGCCUAAAGUAUGUUCCAUGGAAUGUUGGGAUUAGGAAGAUGCUUUGCGAGAUGGGGAGUCUAUAGGUGGAUAUGUCUGGGGGAGGUGGUCUAGCAAGCUCCCUCUUAGAGAGUCACAGAAACACAUGAAGGAUCCCCAGAAAUUACAUCAUAAAACAAAUCUGGUAAGCUCUGUUCAGCCUAGUGUUGUUCAAUUUUAUUUGAUCAGGAAAUCCUGGUUUGUAUAUGUGUGUAUGUGUCUUUAUUUUAUGUAUGUGUGUAUAUAUUUUAAAAAUGGCACCUAUCAACAUCUUGUAGUCAGUCUCCUGUGGAACACAUGUGAAAAAACUUCCAUCAAACGCUAUUCUAACUACAUCACAAUAAUUGAAUCCAUCUUUGAGCAAGACCACAAGCAUAGAUCAUUUAUUUUACAAAGUGAAAUAUACCUGAAGAUGUAUGAAUAAAAAUAAAUAAAUAAAUAAAUAAAUAAAUAAAUAAAUA
rnacentral:lncRNA from 12 species